CCGCCGCACCGUCUCGUGUCACGGAAGGGAUCUAUAUAUUAUAGGGAGGCGAUCUAACGCGCUCGUCGCCGUCCACGGCACCGGCGGCUAAGGUCUCAUAGAAGGCGGCCUAGGUAUUCUCCUCGUCUGCCGGCGAACUUCUAAUUAUGAAGAAGAAAAUAACGGAGUGAUGAUGUUAGAGGGCCAUAUAGAAGGUGGAGGCGGCGAGAUGGAAGGCCAAGAGUAGUGCCGACGCGGCGGCUCCUCAGAGUCUCGAACACCCCGCGACGUCCUCCCUUCCAAAGUUUAAAUAAAAUACGGGUUCCUAUAAACUUCAACACGAACAAUUCUUGAUCCGAGAACGUCGGAGAGAUAUAGGUUAAGAUGAUGACUCAAAAGGAACCGGGUUUGUAAAAACACAGGUUCUGACACCAUCUCUGCCAGAGUAAGAAAAAUGCCCUCUUAUAUACUGAAAUUUUAGAUACUUCUUGUGGAAAAAUACAGUCUUCCUCUUUAGUUUCAGUAGUCAUUUAAAAAACCUAAAUAGGAGUUCGAGAUCAAGCGGUCAACAGCUACCACAAACAAAACAAGGAUGAAGUCUUCUACUAGUGGUGGACAUAUUUGCCUCCUCCUGCCUGGUCUUUACAGUAAAACAAGGCUGUUUACGUUUACCUUUAUUCUCAUCCUCAUGUUUGUCUUUACGCUAGUCCUCAUGUUGUCUACCUUUACGCUCCUUUUCAUGUUGGUCUUCAAGACGUUGAAAACUUCUAUAAAGCGGGGUCCGUGAAUAACAAGGAAGUCUACCUCUUCAAAGUUUUAGACUUUGUUUGUAACAACUUAUAUGUUUUUUUAUAUUUCUAUGGCGUCUUCGAAGAUUCUCUUUAAGAACCUUUUUGAGUAGCCACAGUGAAAGAUGGCACCUACUAUCCUUCAGUUAUAGGUAUAGUUCGUCCGGUAGAAUAUAUUUCGUGUUCCAUCUCCUAAGGUCCCUCAGACUAUGUCUUAGUGAAUACCUCAAUUGUAGUUCCCUCCAAACGUAUAGGAACGAGCUUUCCCUAUAUCAAGAGUAGCUUUUUAGUCUCGAGUCGUCGUGUAGUUGAUGUAAUUGGGUACUACUAUUACUUUCGUUGUGAAAUAAACGUACGUUCUCAACACCCAGAAAACUUCUAGGUACGGCGUACAAUUAUACACUAGCAACACUUCUUCGUAAGGUGAACGAAACGACGGUGGCAGCGUAGUUCUUUUAUGGUCUAUUACUAACCAUAACGGACCUAACAAGUUCCUUCUUUGGAUUCUCCGUCGCACUCUACAACGGCUCAUGUUUUCCUAGUCGGUUCGUAUAAGUUUCUGGAGAGGUUCAAGAACCGAGUUUUCCUCUAUACAACUACUUACGACUUGGUAUACUUUGAGUUCAUUCCUAACCAUCUCUGAAGGUUCGUCUUCAAGGUCUUACCAGGCCAGGUUAAAGACCGUCACUACUGAUAAAACCACUUGGACGACUUGAACUACGGUGACUUUACUGUUUAGACUCAAACGUCAACAGUGAUUCCGCGCUCCUGUUCUUUUGGUCGUAACCAUUGACCUAAGUCACGGUUCUUCAGAACCUGUGUCCACGAUAAACGCCGUUCACCGCCUCCCGUGGUGAAAAACAACAAGUCAGCUCGCUAACCCUAACAAGUACAAGUCAAGAAACCCUAGGUUAAGUACGACUAACACGACAAGGCGUCCUUAACCCAUGACGACUUCACGAAGUCGUUGACUUCAUGUAUUUAUUCGACUUCGAUGCAGACCUGUCAAUAUUCGUCUUUGCGACUUUCGACAUGUUGGCAGUCUUGUCCUAAACAGCCGUUUCUUUGGACGUCUCUCCCUUUGGUAGCGUGGUCAGGGUCGGGGUCAAGGGAGGAAGCGACAUACUACCAACUUAGAGAUCGAGUCAAUAGGGGUCAACCGGAACCUUACUCCUCUCCAAGACACCACAGCGGAGGCUUGUACAUCAAGAUUGAGGGUCGUUACAGAGGAACGAAACUUCGUUUACUGGAACGUCCAGCUCCUAAUCUUCGCACAAAAAAAAAGACAAGAAAAUCACUCUACAUCUUGACUUCCGAGGCAAUGGCAGUCCGCUCGGAUGUCGGAACACCUCACUUUAGCACUACCUUAAACACAAACUGGGACUUGUCAUCCCCUCGGGGACAACUCAAAUAACUACGUGACUAACUUACCUUCUUAGUAAUACGUAGU
rnacentral:rRNA from 1 species